AUACUACUCCCUCCGUUCGGAAUUACUUGUCACAAAAAUGGAUGUAUCUACAACUAAAAUACAUCUAGAUACAUUCAUUUCUUGGACGAGUAAUUCCGAACGGAGGGAGUACUCU
rnacentral:pre_miRNA from 1 species